GCCUCCAAUGAUGAUAAACUUUAGUUCUUCUGAAGUAGUUUUUGAGGAAAUUUUUUUUGGAGACCUGAACUGAGGAGGC